AACAAAACGUUUUUGUGUCCUCCUAAAAUAUGGUGUCUAUGUGCCUCACGGACAACUCAACCCCUGUUAAGAACCCAGAUUCUAGAGCCAGACUGCCUUGGUUCAAAUCCUAGCAUCUCUACUUUGCAGUUGUUUGACAUGAGGUCUAUAAAGGAAAGAGUUGAGAAGAAUAAAUUGGACUGAAAAGAAGCACACUUUAGGGGAUAUGGAAUGAACUCAAG